UAGUCCAUGCCGUAAACGUUGUGUACUAGUUGUGGGAGGAUUUAGCCCCUUCCGUGACUGAGCUAACGCAUUAAGUACACCGCCUGGGAACUACGGCCGCAAGGCUAAAACUCAAAGGAAUUGACGGGGACCCGCACAAGCGGUGGAGCAUGUGGCUUAAUUCGAGGCAACGCGAAGAACCUUACCUGGUCUUGACAUAUUUACGACAACCCUAGAAAUAGGGCUUCCCUUCGGGGCGUUUAUACAGGCGCUGCAUGGCUGUCGUCAGCUCGUGCUGUGAAGUGUUCGGUUAAGUCCGGCAACGAGCGCAACCCACGUCACUAUUUGCCAUCAGGUAAUGCUGGGAACUAUAGUGAGACUGCCCGUGUUAAACGGGNGGAAGGCGUGGACGACGUCAAGUCAGUAUGGCCCUUAUGACCAGGGGCUGGCACACGUGCUACAAUGGUCGGUACAGAGGGAUGCGAAGCCGCGAGGUGAAGCAAAUCCGUAAAGCCGG
rnacentral:rRNA from 1 species